AGUGAACGCUGGCGGUAGGCCUAACACAUGCAAGUCGAACGGCAGCACAGUAAGAGCUUGCUCUUACGGGUGGCGAGUGGCGGACGGGUGAGGAAUACAUCGGAAUCUACUUUUUCGUGGGGGAUAACGUAGGGAAACUUACGCUAAUACCGCAUACGACCUACGGGUGAAAGCAGGGGAUCUUCGGACCUUGCGCGAUUGAAUGAGCCGAGGUCGGAUUAGCUAGUUGGCGGGGUAAAGGCCCACCAAGGCGACGAUCCGUAGCUGGUCUGAGAGGAUGAUCAGCCACACUGGAACUGAGACACGGUCCAGACUCCUACGGGAGGCAGCAGUGGGGAAUAUUGGACAAUGGGCGCUAGCCUGAUCCAGCCAUACCGCGUGGGUGAAGAAGGCCUUCGGGUUGUAAAGCCCUUUUGUUGGGAAAGAAAAGCAGCAGGUUAAUACCCCGCUGUUCUGACGGUACCCAAAGAAUAAGCACCGGCUAACUUCGUG
rnacentral:rRNA from 1 species